GCCAGGUCAUCCUGGGCCAGAGAGAUAAAGCCACUUGGCCAAAGCCACUCGACUGAGUGAGCACACGUUGUCAUUGUCUGUUCUGAACAUGAGGAUCCGCCCCUCACCUCGGUUGCCUGGGAGUCUGGGGUGGGCAGCAGUGGGGCCCGGAAGCUUCCCGUCUGUAGCCCAUGGUAAGAAGGGGACUUUGUUUUCUUUUGCUAAAGAAGGAGUAUGAGAGCUGGUGUGUGUCUGUGUAUGUGUGUGUUUGUGUGAGUGUGUGUGAGUGUGUCUUCAGAGGUCCCCAGGUAAACAGGUAAGACAGGCACCUGUCUGGCCUACCUGACCUCAGAUGGGGUGGAGCUGUGUUAGGGGCAAACUCUAGGACACCUUGGGCCCAGUGACCGGGAGGGGGGGGGGGGGGGGUGAUGACAGUCUUUUUUGUGAAGCCACGUUCUCCUCAUGGGCCUGGCACCUGGGACAGAAGACUGGUGCUGCUGAACCCAAACUUAUUCCUGAGGAGGGGGGAGGAAGGGAGGGCGGGGGUGGGGUGGGGGAGGGGCUGAACAUGUGGCUGCCUGAGUGACAGUUGCUUAGGUAUCAGAGUUCCCUGCAAGUCACGGAAAACAGCUUUGGCUAAUUUAAGCAGAGGAGAAAUUUAUUAAAAGGACUUUGGGCACUUAUAUCGUCUUCAGGUGGACCCAAGGACAAAGCUUAGAGGGUACCCAAGCCAGUAACAUGGCCAAAGUCACCCCAUGGACCUGGGCUGGUGAAGAUGCCAGGCUUCCCCGUCACUUGUCCUCGGAAGGGAUCCCAGAUGGUCCUUCUUCUUCUCGGCAGUGCUGAUUUUCAAUUCAGAAUUGAGGGUGGGUAUGUUGGGGAGUGACUCCCAGGUCACAUGCCUGCACCCACCCUGCAAGGGAUGCUGGGAAAGUGAGUUUCCAGUGUUUUCAGCUUCUGCGCUGGAAGGCGGGACUCUCCAGUAGAAGAAGGGGCUUCAGAUGCUGGGAGGCCCAAAGCAUUCAAAAGUCCUUCCCACAUAGGGGCCAUCACUAAGAUGGCCCUGGAGUGUGACUGUGAGUCCAGUGCUGUACACACCUGGCAGGGAUUACUGAUCUGAAGGACCCUUCAUGAGACAUGGGAAAGACACCUGUCCUUAAGAGGCCUGACCCAGCUACGAGUUCCUGAUACCUGGGACCGUCACUGACCGCACAGAUUCAUCAAUCUAGACACUUCUAGCCCAGCACAGUCUCCUUUGAAUGAAAGUUCUGCCGUUAAGGACUCAAAUCCAGUCCGUUCAGGAGUUCUGCCCCUUCUUCCUGGGAAGCUGCACAACUUCCAUGGAGCUUGCAUCCCUCCCUGUGUGAUCUUUGUGGCCUUUGGUCAUCCACGCCUGUCCUCCUUGUACCUGCCCAGAAGCCACUAUGACCUUUGGCCUCUGUUUGCCAGGGUUAUGCAAUCAACUCUGCAGCUGCCUAACCAGAACUGUGCACCCCUUCGGUCCACCAGUCUGCUCCUGGCCAUACCUGCAUCCACUUUGAAGGAGUAGAAAUUUCUGGGUUCUCGCCAGGUGCUGUGGUGCAUCCUGUCAUCCCAGCGACUCAGGUGGCAGAGGCAAGAGGAUUCCAAGUUCAAAUCCAGCCUCAGCAACUUAGCAAGCCCCUAAACAACUUCGAGAGACCCUGUCUCAAAAGAAAAAAGAAAAAGGACUGAGAUGGGGCUCAGUGGUUGAGCACUCCUGGGUUUAAUCCCCAGUACAAAAAAAAAAAAAGAAAUUCUGGGUUCUCCUCCUUGUGACACUCAUGUGGAAGGAGUCGGGGGUGUCGGGGGGGCAGGUGGCUAGCUCACCUUCCAUCUACUGAGGCCUCUCCGUCCCCAGGCCACACACCUGCUAAGGGAGGUGCACGUUGACCCCCGCAUCCUUCAAGUGUACCCAGGGGCUUCUCUCAUGCCACCUAGACCCCCUUUGGCCCACAUCUGUGUGAGGGUUGUGACACUGUCCCUUCUCUCCCACCUGCAGGUCAAGCCUCUCUCUGCUUUUGGGUGGGAUCUUUGCUUCUGUGGUGACGCAGGCUUCCCUUCACCAGGGCUUAGGGCAUCAGCUGUCUGCUCUUCAAGUUCAAAGCAAGGCUUCUGGACUGACAAAAAAGAUUUCUCUUUCAAAACCCGGCUCUUGUAGGGCUAUAGUCUCAGCUCUGGGUUUCAAAGCCUCUUUUGCAACUCAGAGCCAAGGGUUUGACUCUUUGUUCUGGUUUUCCCGUGGAGAGCAGGAAUCAGAGGGAGCCAACUUAGCAUCUGAAUGGAGAAGAAUGGAUAUAAGGAAAUUGUCUAGAAGAACAAUGGUUAAUACCCUCAAAUGAUCUCAAAUGAUCAGAACCUUAUCUCCCUGUUGUUUCAUGUUAAUCCCUCAGGGGCAGGGGCGCCCAUGGAAGACCUGGCACUAGGGUGAAGGGAGCAGGGCACUUGCCCCCGAGGGAUGAUAUUUAAAGUGCAAACAACAACAACUUCAUAAUCAAGUAAUAGUUUGAUGUAAUCUGUGUGUGUGUGUGUGUGUGUCUUGGAUUUGAUUCUGGGGCUCCUCUACCACUGAGCUACAACCCCA
rnacentral:lncRNA from 1 species